ensembl:processed_transcript RIKEN cDNA 1700001G11 gene
GGGAUUCCGUUGUCAAAUAGGAAGUGAAGCCACGGGCCGCCAUCCUUAAGCAAUUCCCGCUAUCUCAGACUCCUGGUAUAGAUGGGAAGGGACGUCCAUGGCUUAACUCCUGAGCUCCCUAGGUGGGGUCUGAACCUGGGCCCAAAGCAGUAGCGGGGGGUCAUGCAGCACUGGGAAUGGUUUCUCAAAACCCUCACAUAGGUCGUCCGCUGACUUUGGUCGGGCUUACUGCCGCCUCGAGGUAGCGGGAAGACCUGAGGAGUUGAGAUUCCCGGCUUCUGGUUGGAUAAAUGAGUUCCAGUGUAAAAUGAUGGUCUCCGUGAAAAGGGCGUGUGAGAACGAAAUUAAUAUGGAAGCAUGCUCGUGGCUUCUUCAUUAAAGUCAGGAACCACAGACGGGAUGGUUUAUAAAGAAUAGAGUUCCAGAGGCAGGGAAAUUCAAGAACUGGGUGGUGCCAGCCUUCCUGCUGCAUCUUGAUGAGACAGAGUGUCACAUGGCCAGACAGGCAAGUGUGCCUGCUCAGAUCUCACUUCUUCCUAUAAAGGUGGUGUUUAUGGGAACGUUCAUGCUGGAAUAGAAAGCUAACAAGGACUGGGCUCUGCCCUCAUCAGCUCAUUCGAAGAACCUCCUCCUACAAGCCUCAUUUCAAUUAGCAAUUCCAAUUU